AAAUCUGAUGGGCGGGAUUUCAAAUUUCAAAUAACCCUAGAUAUUUUCAGAUCCUGAACAAUCUACCAGUUUCUCCACAAAACCGCCUCUCUCUCUACUCCAUGGAUUCCGCCGCCAGUUAUGAUACUCUUGCGUCCUUCCUUCGUCUUCACCGUCAAAAUCAGUUGUUUCUUUUAAGCCAGGGUCCAGGAAGUAGCAAUUAGGGCUAUCUUCAAUAGAGACCGACAGGUAAAGUGUGCGAGAUGCCACCAUGCUCCACUUCCAUUAAGUGUUUUGCUAUUUGAUUUAGGGAGAAUUGAAGACUUUCGAUUCCUAGGGUUUGAUUGUAAGAAAUUCUGGUCCGAAUUAUAUAGUAUUCGUGCAAUAUUCACUGUUAUUGUUGAUGAAAUGGAGAAGUUUAGUCUCGGUUUUGCUUAA